GCAGGUAUGGUUUAAUGGUAGAACACUGGUUUUGUAGUCCAGUGAUGUGGGUUCGAUUCCUACUAUCUGCUCCA
rnacentral:tRNA from 1 species